rnacentral:rRNA from 1 species
UACGUAGGGUGCGAGCGUUAAUCGGAAUUACUGGGCGUAAAGCGUGCGCAGGCGGUUAUUUAAGUCAGGUGUGAAAGCCCUAAGCUUAACCUAAAAAUUGCGCUUGAGACUGGAUAGCUUGGAGUGCGGCAGAGGGAGGUGGAAUUCCACGUGUAGCAGUGAAAUGCGUAGAGAUGUGGAGGAACACCGAUGGCGAAGGCAGCCUCCUGGGCCAGCACUGACGCUCAUGCACGAAAGCGUGGAAAGCAAACAGG